rnacentral:lncRNA from 1 species
AUGAACGGCACGGUAACUAUCCGCGUUAGAAAGUUCAUGUCCAACCGACUACUUCAGAGGAAACAAAUGGUCAUUGAUGUCCUUCACCCUGGGAAGGCAACAGUGCCUAAGACAGAAAUUCAGGGAAAACUAGCCAAAAUGUACAAGACCAUACCGGAUGUCAUCUUUGUAUUUGGAUUCAGAGCUCAUUUUGGCGGUGGCAAGACAACUGGCUUUGGCAUGAUUUAUGAUUCCCUGGAUUAUGCAGAGAAAAAUGAAUCCAAACAUUGACUUGCAAGACAUGGCCUUUGUGAGAAGAAAAAGACCUCAAGAAAGCAACGAAAGGAACGCAAGAACAGAAUGAAGACAGUCAGGGGAAGUGCAAAGGCCAGUGCUGGUGCUGGCAAAAAGCCGAAGGAGUAA